rnacentral:rRNA from 1 species
UACGUAGGGUGCGAGCGUUGUCCGGAAUUAUUGGGCGUAAAGAGCUCGUAGGCGGUCUGUCGCGUCUGCUGUGAAAACUCAGGGCUUAACCCUGAGCUUGCAGUGGGUACGGGCAGACUAGAGUGCGGUAGGGGAGACUGGAAUUCCUGGUGUAGCGGUGAAAUGACGCAGAUAUCAGGAGGAACACCGGUGGCGGAAGGCGGGUCUCUGGGCCGU